rnacentral:tRNA from 4 species
CGCGGGGUGGAGCAACCUGGUAGCUCGUCGGGCUCAUAACCCGAAGGUCGUCGGUUCAAAUCCGGCCCCCGCAACCA